rnacentral:rRNA from 1 species
GACGGGGGAUGCAAGUGUUAUCCGGAAUCACUGGGCGUAAAGCGUCUGUAGGUGGUUAAGUAAGUCAACUGUUAAAUCUUGAGGCUCAACCUCAAAAUCGCAGUCGAAACUGCUUGACUAGAGUAUAGUAGGGGUAAAGGGAAUUUCCAGUGGAGCGGUGAAAUGCGUAGAUAUUGGAAAGAACACCGAUGGCGAAGGCACUUUACUGGGCUAUUACUAACACUGAGAGACGAAAGCUAGGGUAGCAAAUGGG